rnacentral:rRNA from 1 species
GACGAACGCUGGCGGUGUGCCUAACACAUGCAAGUGGAGCGAAGAACCAGAGCUUGCUCUGGGCCAACGCCGCGAACGGGCGAGUAACACACGCGUAAUCUACCCCCCUGAACGGCACAGACCGCUACAACUCGCGCUAAUACCUGACGUGGUGCAUAUUCAUAAGUCUCUUCACUUAAGGUAGCUCCGGCUUCCGCAUUGGUAUGGGCCCGCGGCCCAUUAGCUAGUUGGUUGGGUCAAGGCCUACCAAGGCAACGAUGGGUAGCUGGCCUGAGAGGGCGAUCAGCCACACUGGAACUGAGACACGGCCCAGACUCCUACGGGAGGCAGCAGUAGGGAAUCUUGCGCAAUGGGCGAAAGCCUGACGCAGCAACGCCGCGUGAGGGAAGAAGGCCUUAGGGUUGUAAACCUCUUUCAGUUGGGAAGAAGGUAUUCCGGUGUAUCGACGCGAGGCUUGACGGUACCGUAAGAAGAAGCCCCGGCUAACUACGUG